rnacentral:rRNA from 1 species
AGUGAACGCUGGCGGUAGGCCUAACACAUGCCAGUCGAACGGCAGCACAGUAAGAGCUUGCUCUUACGGGUGGCGAGUGGCGGACGGGUGAGGAAUAAAUCGGAAUCUACUUUUUCGUGGGGGAUAACGUAGGGAAACUUACGCUAAUACCGCAUACGACCUACGGGUGAAAGCAGGGGAUCUUCGGACCUUGCGCGAUUGAAUGAGCCGAUGUCGGAUUAGCUAGUUGGCGGGGUAAAGGCCCACCAAGGCGACGAUCCGUAGCUGGUCUGAGAGGAUGAUCAGCCACACUGGAACUGAGACACGGUCCAGACGCCUACGGGAGGCAGCAGUGGGGAAUAUUGGACAAUGGGCGCAAGCCUGAUCCAGCCAUACCGCGUGGGUGAAGAAGGCCUUCGGGUUGUAAAGCCCUUUUGUUGGGAAAGAAAAGCAGCAGGUUAAUACCCCGCUGUUCUGACGGGACCAAAAGAAUAAGCACAGGCUAACUUCGU